AAUGAACGUUGGCGGCGUGGAUUAGGCAUGCAAGUCGAGCGAGAAGUGUAGCAAUACACGGAAAGCGGCGAAAGGGAUAGUAACACGUAGGUACCUACCCCCGGGCCUGGGAUAGCGGCGGGAAACUGCCAUUAAUACCAGAUAACGUCUCCGGACCAAAGGUGUGAUUCCGUCUGGGGAGGGGCCUGCGUCCUAUCAGCUUGUUGGUGAGGUAAUGGCUUACCAAGGCUUUGACGGGUAGCGGGUGUGAGAGCACGACCCGCAUCACUGGGACUGAGACACUGCCCAGACACCUACGGGAGGCUG
rnacentral:rRNA from 1 species